UGCAAGUCGUACCAGUAGCGGCGCGAGGGAGAUUACUUUCUCUGCUGACGAGUGGCGGAAGGGUGAGUAAAGCUUGGGAAUCUGGCGAAUGGAGGGGGAUAGCCACGGGAAACUGUGGGUAAUACCGCGUAAUGUCUAAGGACUAAAGGGGUGGGACUGAGAGGCCACCUGCCAUUUGAUGAGCCCAAGUGGGAUUAGGUAGUUGGUGAGGUAAGGGCUCACCAAGCUGACGAUCUCUAGCUGGUCUGAGAGGAUGGCCAGCCACACUGGAACUGAGACACGGUCCAGACUCCUACGGGAGGCAGCAGUGGGGAAUAUUGCGCAAUGGGGGGAACCCUGACGCAGCCAUGCCGCGUGAAUGAAGAAGGCCUUCGGGUUGUAAAGUUCUUUCGGUGAUGAGGAAGGCGAUUAGUUUAAGAGAUUAAUUGAUUGACGAUAAUCACAGAAGAAGCACCGGCUAACUCCGUGCCAGCAGCCGCGGUAAUACGGAGGGUGCGAGCGUUAAUCGGAAUGACUGGGCGUAAAGGGCACGCAGGUGGUGACUUAAGUGAGGUGUGAAAUCCCCGGGCUUAACCUGGGAACAGCAUUUCAGACUGGGUGACUAGAGUACUUUAGGGAGGGGUAGAAUUCCACGUGUAGCGGUGAAAUGCGUAGAGAUGUGGAGGAAUACCGAAGGCGAAGGCAGCCCCUUGGGAAGAUACUGACGCUCGAGUGCGAAAGCGUGGGGAGCAAACAGGAUUAGAUACCCUGGUAGUCCACGCUGUAAACGAUGUCGAUUUGGGGAUUGGGGUGAAUACUUGGUGCCCGAAGCUAACGUGAUAAAUCGACCGCCCUGGGGGAGUACGGCCGCAAAGGUUAAAACUCAAAUGAAUUGACGGGGGGCCCGCACAAG
rnacentral:rRNA from 1 species